rnacentral:rRNA from 1 species
GAUGAACGCUGGCGGCGUGCCUAAUACAUGCGAGUCGAGCGAACGGACGAGAAGCUUGCUUCUCUGAUGUUAGCGGCGGACGGGUGAGUAACACGUGGAUAACCUACCUAUAAGACUGGGAUAACUUCGGGAAACCGGAGCUAAUACCGGAUGAUAUUUUGAACCGCAUGGUUCAAAAGUGAAAGACGGUCUUGCUGUCACUUAUAGAUGGAUCCGCGCUGCAUUAGCUAGUUGGUAAGGUAACGGCUUACCAAGGCAACGAUGCAUAGCCGACCUGAGAGGGUGAUCGGCCACACUGGAACUGAGACACGGUCCAGACUCCUACGGGAGGCAGCAGUAGGGAAUCUUCCGCAAUGGGCGAAAGCCUGACGGAGCAACGCCGCGUGAGAGAUGAAGGUCUUCGGAUCGUAAAACUCUGUUAUUAGGGAAGAACAUAUGUGUAAGUAACUGUGCACAUCUUGACGGUACCUAAUCAGAAAGCCACGGCUAACUACGUG